rnacentral:rRNA from 1 species
AGAUUGAACGCUGGCGGCAGGCCUAACACAUGCAAGUCGAGCGGUAGAGAGGUGCUUGCAUCUCUUGAGAGCGGCGGACGGGUGAGUAAUGCCUAGGAAUCUGCCUAGUGGUGGGGGAUAACGUUCGGAAACGGACGCUAAUACCGCAUACGUCCUACAGGAGAAAGCGGGGGACCUUCGGGCCUCGCGCCAUUAGAUGAGCCUAGGUCGGAUUAGCUAGUUGGUGAGGUAAUGGCUCACCAAGCGACGAUCCGUAACUGGUCUGAGAGGAUGAUCAGUCACACUGGACUGAGACACGGGU